GACAUAAUUGGGAACGUUGAACCACCGCCUGUAAGUGGUCACUUGGGCAGUGGGGAGUGAAUAGUGAAACCGACCUUCGCUGGU
rnacentral:ncRNA from 2 species